UCCAGACUAAAAGGACCAAACUAGGACUAGAAGGACCAGACAAGGACUAAAAGGACCAGACUAGGACUAAAAGGACCCAGACUAGGUCUAAAAGGGACCAGACUAGGACUAAAAGGGACCAGACUAGGACUAAAAGGACCAGACUAGGACUAAAAGGACCAGACUAGGACUAAAAGGACCAGACUAGGACUAAAAGGACCAGUGUAUUGUAGUGUUUGGCUGAUACAGUACACACACACACACACACACCAUUUCAAUCGAUAAGAUCUUUAUCAGGUUCAGUGGGUUUAGAUCAGGUAGGUACAAGCAUCUAAAAUACAUAUACAACAAUAACACUCUCAACUAGCAUCAAUCUAAUCUAAGGUCUAAUGUCAAUAAUGAUAUCUACUCAUUAUCAAUCCUCUAUCCACAUGAUCAACCGUUGGCUUUGAACUAUGAAAAACAAACAAGCUACUUAAAAGUUGCAGACUUUAAAAAUAAAAAACCUCAAAACCUGUCAAGCCUCUUACAUCAUUCUUCGUAAAAGACGAAAAGUAAGCAUUGUAAAUACGUUGACGUUUUAUUUUUUAGCUAAUCACAACAAUACUACUAACGUAUCACAAGGAGAACAAACUAAAGAUAUCAUAUUCCACAGAGGAGUGUCCUCUACUUCCUGUUUCUGAUACUGACUCUGGGCUACUGUAACUGCUGUUAUCUCUACUGUCCAGACUCAGUCAGGUCCAGGUUGGUACUCUACUGUCCAGACUCAGUCAGGUCCAGGUUGGUACUCUACUCUACUGUCCAGACUCAGUCAGGUCCAGGUUGAUACUCUACUGUAUCUGCUGUUAUCUCUACUGUCCAGACUCAGUCAGGUCCAGGUUAGGACUCUACUCUACUGUCCAGACUCAGUCAGGUCCAGGUUGAUACUCUACUGUAUCUGCUGUUAUCUCUACUGUCCAGACUCAGUCAGGUCCAGGUUGGUACUCUACUCUACUGUCCAGACUCAGUCAGGUCCAGGUUGGUACUCUACUGUAUCUGCUGUUAUCUCUACUGUCCAGACUCAGUCAGGUCCAGGUUGGUACUCUACUGUCCAGACUCAGUCAGGUCCAGGUUGGUACUCUACUCUACUGUCCAGACUCAGUCAGGU
ensembl:lncRNA